AGGCAGCAGUGGGGAAUAUUGCACAAUGGGCGCAAGCCUGAUGCAGCCAUGCCGCGUGUGUGAAGAAGGCCUUCGGGUUGUAAAGCACUUUCAGCAGUGAGGAAGGCGGGUACGUUAAUAGCGUAUUCGUUUGACGUUAGCUGCAGAAGAAGCACCGGCUAACUCCGUGCCAGCAGCCGCGGUAAUACGGAGGGUGCGAGCGUUAAUCGGAAUUACUGGGCGUAAAGCGCAUGCAGGUGGUUCGUUAAGUCAGAUGUGAAAGCCCGGGGCUCAACCUCGGAACUGCAUUUGAAACUGGCGGACUAGAGUACUGUAGAGGGGGGUAGAAUUUCAGGUGUAGCGGUGAAAUGCGUAGAGAUCUGAAGGAAUACCGGUGGCGAAGGCGGCCCCCUGGACAGAUACUGACACUCAGAUGCGAAAGCGUGGGGAGCAAACAGGAUUAGAUACCCUGGUAGUCCACGCCGUAAACGAUGUCUACUUGGAGGUUGUGGCCUUGAGCCGUGGCUUUCGGAGCUAACGCGUUAAGUAGACCGCCUGGGGAGUACGGUCGCAAGAUUAAAACUCAAAUGAAUUGACGGGGGCCCGCACAAGCGGUGGAGCAUGUGGUUUAAUUCGAUGCAACGCGAAGAACCUUACCUACUCUUGACAUCCAGAGAAGCCAGCGGAGACGCAGGUGUGCC
rnacentral:rRNA from 1 species